GAGGAGUUUAAGGGAUAUGUGGAAGGUUUUGCACUUUCUAUUUGGACUUUGUUAGGCAGUGUAUCCCAGUCUUCCAGCCGUGAUAGGUUAGCUGUUACAGCAAUUAAGUUUUUGACUACCGUGAGUACUAGUGUCCAACACAUUCUGUUCGCAAAUGAUGGGGUCAUCCCACAGAUUUGUCAAAGUAUUGUGAUUCCUAA
rnacentral:misc_RNA from 1 species